rnacentral:lncRNA from 1 species
CACAGGUGAGAGAGUUUGAGUGCACAGGUGUGCGUGCGUGUGAGCGUGCGUGCGUGCGUGCGAGAAGGUCAGAGUGCGCCGCGUGUCCGUGAGUGAAAGUGCGCGUUUUUGUGUUCAGAUGGAGGACGCCCCCAGCUCCCAGAAGAGCGGGCGACUUUCUUCCUCUCACGACUUGGGGAGAGGAGGAGGAGGACCGUUUCCGACGUGGACAGGUUUCGGCGUCUUAGGGGUCCAGGUAAAGGCGAUUCAAUUAUGGGAUAUGAGGCUGGUCAGGAAGCAUGAGAGCCUGCACCAUCCUGCAGGCCACAGAGACCUUCGGUGGACAGUUCUGAAUGGGAUAAAGCCUGCAGGCCAGUACUCCCAUGAGAGCUCUUCUCCCACAGAGACUGUCGUAUUGGACACAGAAGCAAUAUCCAGCCUAAGGCUGCCAGCAAACAUCACACUGAAGCAUAAAAAGGUAGAAGGCAAGAAGAUGGGGAAAUCCUGUCACAUUAGUACUCAGUGUGAGGGUGCUCACCCCAGACUGUGUGGACUUUGAGACACCAGGUGUCAUUGGGGAUAAAGAGGGUCACUCCAAGAAGACACAAUGGAGAAAGUGAAGCUCUCUCUGCUCGGCUGACCCCUCACUCCUAUGAGGGCAAGUCAGUCACAGCAUGUGACCUGGCUUUGCAAAGAAAAAGGCAUUUCCCUAAGGUUAUGGGGUUGUGUUUGAGAUCAGCCCAAGACAGCCUGGCUCCUAGAAAAGAACCUGACCAGCCCUGUCUUCCUAGAGUGGGGCCACCUCGCAACACCCUGGGCAGCCUAUGAGUGGCUGCAGAGCACAGCUUGACUCUUCAUAGGAACCACCCAAACCAUCUUCAUCUCUAUGAAUCAUCCUCACAGAGACUGAGUAUUGAGGCGAAAAGAAACCCAGGUGCAUUGAAAGACUGGCUUGAAGGCUGACGUUACUUAGGAUGAGACUCAGAGUUUCCAUCAUGGCUCAGCAGAAAUGAAUUUGAUGAGCAUCCAUGAGGACGCAGGUUUGAUCCCUGGCCUCCCUCAGUGGGUUAAGGAUCUGGCGUUGCUGUGGCUGCAGUGUAGGCCGGUGGCUGCAGCUCUAAUUCAACCCUAGCCUGGGAACCUCCAUAUGUCACAGCUGCAGCCCUAAAAAAGACAAAAAAUAAAAAAAUAAAAACAGGAUGAGAGUAGGUUAAA